rnacentral:rRNA from 1 species
UACAGAGGUCUCAAGCGUUGUUCGGAUUCAUUGGGCGUAAAGGGCGCGUAGGCGGCUUCUUAAGUCAGGGGUGAAAUCCUGGAGCUCAACUCCAGAACUGCCUUUGAUACUGAGGAGCUUGAGUCCGGGAGAGGUGAGUGGAACUGCGAGUGUAGAGGUGAAAUUCGUAGAUAUUCGCAAGAACACCAGUGGCGAAGGCGGCUCACUGGCCCGGUACUGACGCUGAGGUGCGAAAGCGUGGGGAGCAAACAGG